rnacentral:lncRNA from 1 species
CACAAAUAUAACAAGACAUAACAACCCAAUAAGAAAGCUCAGAGGAACAAACUAAUUUGCAAUAUCACAUGGAUUGGGACAACAGGACCAUCUCGGAUGAUGAUACCAGAUAAACAAAAUUAAAUUUGACAAAACUAGUUGAACAAAACAUCAACAUACACAACAUAAAAACAUAACCACCACAGAUCUGCCACCAUAAUCGCGUAACUCUCAAAACAGCCUAAUGCCAUAAGAACCAGAACCGUGAAACAUGAAGGAAUGAGGCAGUGCAAGCACCCGAGCAUAGUUGUGUUGUAGCUCUACACAUAUUCCAAGAUGUUCGUGAGAAAUCGUUUUUUCAGAUUAGCAGUUGUAACCAAGAGAUGAAGCCAGACCGAGAGGGGAGAGAGAGAGAGAGAGAGAGUCUGAGUGAUAGCCAACAUUAACCGAGAAACUCCAUCGCCGCAAGAUUCGAAAUCACCAAUACACCUAGAAGAAACAACGACCAAUUGGGGGACAGCCAAGAGACAACACUGAGAGCAUUGGAACGGUGGAGAUCUAGGAAAACUCACAAGAAUAGAGCAUAAAGCCUUAGAUCCAAGCAAGAAAACUCGAUCAAGUCACUAGCUCUCAAGAAGGAGACAGCUUUGGACCCAUCAAAAUGGGUGAAGCCAAAUGCUUCGAGAGAGACCUCGAAAGAUACUCAAAACAUGGUUAAGAAACAGGAGAGAAAGGGGAGGGGUAAUGAUCUCCUUCCUCUUAGUGAGGUGAAACGGCGGUGAAAGGCACUCUCAGAAGCUAGGGUUUUUUACUUUUUCAAACUACACCUUGUGAGGUUUGCAUUAUUACCUUCUUCAAAAUUCUUAAGAUCCACAUUGCUACGUAUCAAAUCAAAAGUCUUAAGAUUU